GGUUCCUUCAAAUUUCCACAAAACCAUAUUGUAAAUUCUCUAAAUUCUUGUGAAUGAUCAAAUAACACAACUGAUUAAAGUCUUAUAAAUCAAUUAUUCAUAACACCAAAUCCAGUGGCCAAGCCUCAAGAUAUCACUCAGCUUGACGCUUAGAUUUUAUAAUUUACGACAUGUCAAUAUGCGACUUUGAUGUACAUAAUCUAACCAUGGGUGUACAAAGUUUU
rnacentral:lncRNA from 1 species